UAUAAAUUCAUUACCCAAACUCUGGAAGGAGAAUAUGACAAGGUUUUCAUCUUGCAAAGGCAAGCCAAAAGUAGGAGCAGGCUAAAAAAGCAAAAACAUGUCUAAGAAAAUGAUCCAAAUCCACAUAUCUUUCCAACUCUUUACAGACGGUUCUGUUAUAAGACACAUCGCUGGGAAUAACGCUCAAAUCCAAGUGCACUAAGCAUCCAGGGUACUGACUUUACAGCCUUAGUUUCCAAGCUAGUGUGUUAAAUUGCUGAUAAAAGCAAGCCUUACUCCAACCUGCCAACAUUUUUUAUCCUAAGAAUAAGACAACAGGGAAAAGGGUUCAAAUCUUUUAAGGAAUUCAACACAACAGAACUCGAGCAUACAGCAUCAAUAGUAUUCAACACAACUUUCAUUCCCUUCACCUCACCCGGCCCCGCCCCUUCUCUUCCUGCUAUCGAGCUUCUUAGACUGCUAUAAGCAAACAGGAAAAAAUAAGUAUAUGAAAUCUGCGUCAUACAAUUAUUCAGCUAAAUGAUGUAUGAAAGAUUAUAAACAUGGUUAUUACAAUGAUAUUAUUAACAGGCAAAGGAAAACCUAAUGGCUUAGGUAUGACAAGAUUUUGACAACAUAUGCUCAACCUAUGUAACAAAAAUGAUUGGCUAGAAUGAUCAAAAUUUGGAACUGAUCUUAAUCAUAUUUUAUUCAUAAUGUCACAACAUAAAUUUCUCUUUUGCACGAGAAAUCAGCUUAAAUUUUUCCUCAGCUUCAAUUUGUUGGCGAAUGUCACUUCUUGAUGCUCGAUCUGGAUGGAACCUAAGAAGAGCUUGUUUAUAAGCAGCACAUACCU
rnacentral:misc_RNA from 1 species